AUCCGGCUGAUGAGUCACAAUUGGGACAAAACGCGCGUCCUGGAU
rnacentral:hammerhead_ribozyme from 1 species